GAUGAACGCUAGCGGCGUGCCUAACACAUGCAAGUCGAACGGGACCGGGGGCAACUCCGGUUCAGUGGCGGACGGGUGCGUAACACGUGAGGAACAUGACUUUCGGUGGGGGAUAGCCGGCCCAACGGCCGGGUAAUACCGCGUACGACCUUUCGGGGACAUCCCCGAUUGGUGAAAGCAGCAAUGCGCCGAAAGAGUGCCUCGCGGCCUAUCAGCUAGUUGGUGGGGUAAUGGCCCACCAAGGCGACGACGGGUAGCUGGUCUGAGAGGAUGGCCAGCCACAUUGGGACUGAGACACGGCCCAGACUCCUACGGGAGGCAGCAGUGGGGAAUAUUGCGCAAUGGGCGAAAGCCUGACGCAGCGACGCCGCGUGUGGGAUGACGGCCUUCGGGUUGUAAACCACUGUCGGGAGGGACGAAUGCCCCGCAAGGGGAGUGACGGUACCUCCAAAGGAAGCACCGGCUAACUCCGUGCCAGCAGCCGCCGUAACAC
rnacentral:rRNA from 1 species